GUCACAUAUAGGCUAGACUGGAUGCUGCUCGACCAGCUGAUCAGUUUUUGGGUUUCGCGCAGCUGGAUUUGGAAGAUGCUGCCUGGCCAGUCCUUCCCCAACCAUCAGGCAGGAAGUACAGAGGUCUGAAAAGGCUCACCACCAGGCUCAAGGAGAGCUUCUAUCGACUGUGUACGACUUUUGAAUGGACUUCUUCUAUGAUAAAGAUGAACUUUUGAUCUUUCAAUCUACCUCCUUGCAGCUGAGUUGUCUGCCUGCACUGCACUUUCUCUGUAACCAUAAGACCAUAUUGUGCAUUCUGAUAUUUGAUUUUCCUUUAACGCUACCGCGUGUACAUAUUUGUAUAAAUAUUAUGCAAGACAAAGUUUUUCUCUGUACCUCUGUACAUAUCACAAUAAUAUAUCUAUUACCAAUUAAUCAUCAUCAUCAAGCACCAUGCUGUUUGAUGUGGACGAACAUGGUUUUCCAUCUGCCGGGGCAGAUGUUUCUGCAGAAGUGGCUUGCCAUUGCCUUCUUCUGGGACAGUGUCCUUACAAGACGGACAAACCCAGCCAUUAUCAAUACUUUUCAGAGGUUGUAUAAACAGGACUUGUGAUACCAGUUAGUACCAGAGCUAAUCAGGACAGAAACUGGCCAUUUGGCCCUUUGUGUCCAUGCUGAUCAUCAAGUAUACUUUUACUCCCAAUUUCACUGGUCCACAGCCUUCCAUGCCUUAGUGAUUUAAAUGCUUGUCCAGAUACUCCUUAAAUGUUUUUAAUUGAUUUACAUAUAGAGUUUUAUAAUUUGAAAGCAGGCUCAUUGUCUUCACUGGUCCAUGCCGACCAAAGUAAUCCCAUUUGCCAAUAUUUGGCUGAUAUCACUCCAAACCUUUUCUACCCAUGUGUCCUCCUGAAUGUUACUUAAACGUUGUAAUUGUGCUUGCCUCUUCAGCUUUCUCUGGCAGUGUGUUGCAUAUGGCAGCCUCUGUGUGAAAAACCUGCCCUUCAGCUCUCAUUUAAAUUUUAAC